rnacentral:rRNA from 1 species
GUACGGGGGGGGGCAAGCGUUGUCCGGAAUUACUGGGCGUAAAGAGCUCGUAGGUGGUUUGUCGCGUUGUCCGUGAAAACUCACAGCUCAACUGUGGGCGUGCGGGCGAUACGGGCAGACUGGAGUACUGCAGGGGAGACUGGAAUUCCUGGUGUAGCGGUGGAAUGCGCAGAGUAUCAGGAGGAACACCGGUGGCGAAGGCGGGGUCUCUGGGCCGAUACUGACGCUGAGGAGCGAAAGCGUGGGGAGCGAACAGG